rnacentral:lncRNA from 1 species
CACUGUAGAGCACUUAUAUAAAGCAAAAAAAAUUUUUUUUUCCUCUUUUUACUUAGGACAUCAGCCCUUGCUGAAAAUAUGUGAGGACCACUCUAGUGACCCAGCCUCACUAUUUUUUUCUGUAAAUACUGACCCAGCACCAAAGUGUAGUGUGUGCCAGGCCCUGGAGUGCGGUGAUGACAGAUAUGCCCCCCACAACUCGCUGCCCUGAGGAGCUUAGAGCAGCAUGGACCCUGCUCCCAAACCACCCAAGACAAAGCAGGACGGCUACCAUGUGGCCCUCGUGGGCCGUUUGUGCUGCAGGAGCUCAGUGGGGAAGUCACACUCAGCUGAGUGGCUCUGGGGUGACUGUACAGGAGAGGUACCAUGGAGCUGCACCCUGAGACCUGUGUCAUCAAAUCACCAAAAGGAAAUUGUAAGGAGGAAAGAGAGAAGCAAAAGGAGAGACUAACCUACAGAAUGGAUGCUUGGUGUCUGCAGAAUCUGUAUUUGCUUUACUGGACUGCCUUCACUUUUAGAAAAUUCAAGAUGGCGCCUUUCAGGCAUUCUGAAUCAUUUCAGCAUUGGGAAGCCUUCAGAUGGACAACCAAACUGGGAAAUUUCUUGCCUGUCCCAUGUCCUACCCCCUCAUCCAGAUCUUGUUAAAUAAAAAGAGGUUCUGCUGGUUAAGAAACAAUAUCUGAGCAUUCUGUGGCCAUGGAAGAUGUCCGCAUUAUAGAAAAAGCAUAGCUUGCAUUAAACAUUAAAUAAAUAGUUAAUUUAUUCACUGAUUCUUUAUGGACAACAAUUUAGUACUGUGGCCUUGGCCUUAAGAUUCUCUCUUUACCCCAUGGAGUCUAGUCAGGGAGAUGGAUCCUAAAGGCAGAGUGACAGUGCUCAGAAGUAAGGAGGGACAUAUUAUGUUAAGUCCCUUGCUUGGGAGCUUUCUGAGCAUGCCAGAUGAGUCAGUGAGAAAGUGAAAGAAAGCAGGCCAAGUGUCAGGGAAUGUGGCUGUUAUCUGUUUAAUCAGUGGCCGUUUAAGAGCUAUUGUUAAAUAUUUGAACAAAUCCUUACUGAAAGGAGAGUUUGCUUCCUGACCAACAGGAAUAGAUAUAGAUUUCUUAUAUUUAUGAACAUUUCCCCACAUGGUUGAAUUAGGGGAUCAGGGAGUUAAGAAAGUCUCUGUCUCUUGGUAGAAAUUAAAUUAAAAGAAUAAGUAACUCCUCUUCUGCAUUUACCAAUAAUUUUUUUGUCUUUUGGUUGGUUUGGUUUUUAUUGAUUGGCGUUUAAUAGAGGGCCCAGUGAG